rnacentral:rRNA from 1 species
AUUGAACGCUGGCGGCAGGCCUAACACAUGCAAGUCGAACGAGUGGCGGACGGGUGAGUAAUGUCUGGGAAACUGCCCGAUGGAGGGGGAUAACUACUGGAAACGGUAGCUAAUACCGCAUACCAUCGGAUGUGCCCAGAUGGGAUUAGCUAGUAGGUGGGGUAACGGCUCACCUAGGCGACGAUCCCUAGCUGGUCUGAGAGGAUGACCGGCAAACCGGGAACUGAGAACCGGGCCAGACUCCUAGGGGGGGCAGCAGUGGGGAAUAUUGCACAAUGGGCGCAAGCCUGAUGCAGCCAUGCCGGGUGUAUGAAGAAGGCCUUCGGUUUGAAAAGUACUUUCAGCGAGGAGGGGUACCUCGCAGAAAAAGCACGGGUAACUCCGUGCCAGCAGCCGCGGUAAUAC